ACCUUGGCAAAGUAAAGAACCCAUGGCCCAAUGUAGAUGCUCAUUCUGGAGUUUUAUUACAGUACUACGGCUUGAAAGAAAUGAAUUACUAUACAGUAUUGUUUGGAGUAUCCCGUGCUCUAGGAGUAUUAGCUUCUUUGGUUUGGGACCGUGGUCUUGGUCUUCCCAUCGAACGCCCCAAAUCUUUCUCUACUGAAAAGAUGAAGGAAUUGGUCAGCAAACUGUCUGCAAAAGCUGCAUAAACUGUGUAAUGAUAAUGAUAUUUAUUUUGUUCAAAAGAAAGCCCUGCACAUAACUUAUUUUGUUUAUUUCUUGAUACCCCGUCCAAUUAAUUUCUUAUCUUGUCAAUAGAAUUAAGUCAAUUUACCGGUUUUUUUUUUAAAUAUACUUUGGUUCAAAAUUAAUAAUAGCAUACUUUCAGUUAUUUCAAUAUUUUGUUUUAAUUAUUAAAGUAAAAUCUCAAAUUCAGUUAUGUGAAUUAUAAAUAUAUUUAUAUAUUGUUGAUCGUUUUCAAAUUUCUCAAACAAUAAUAUGUAUAAUGUAGAAAAAAGUCCAUAAUGCAUCCUCCUAAAUUACUGGAGUAUAACAUUGCUGUUGUUUAUUAGUAUUUAAAAAUUAUUAAAUAGAUGAUAAAUUAUUCA